rnacentral:rRNA from 1 species
CCUACGGGUGGCAGCAGUGGGGAAUAUUGGGCAAUGGGCGCAAGCCUGACCCAGCAACGCCGCGUGAAGGAAGAAGGCUUUCGGGUUGUAAACUUCUUUUCUCCGGGACGAAGAAAGUGACGGUACCUGCGGAAUAAGCCACGGCUAACUACGUGCCAGCAGCCGCGGCAAUACGAAGGUGGCAAGCGUUAUCCGGAUUUAUAGGGUGUAAAGGGCGUGUAGGCGGGAGAGGAAGUCAGAUGGGAAAACUCAGGGCUCAACCCUGAGCCUGCAUUUGAAACUGGGUUUCUUGAGUGCUGGGGAGGCAAUCGGAAUUCCGUGGGUAGCGGGGAAAUUGCGUAGAUAUACGGAGGAACACCAGUGGCGAAGGCGGAUUGCUGGACAGUAACUGACGCUGAGGCGCGAAAGCGUGGGGAGCAAACAGGAUUAGAUACCCCAGUAGUC